GUGUUCAAUGAUGACUUUUAUUUGUAUGCCUGAUUUCCUUUCGGAUAAUGAAGGCAUCUUUAGUCACUGCCUCUUCUGAGACAC
ensembl:snoRNA small nucleolar RNA, C/D box 11